GAUGAACGCUGGCGGCGUGCCUAAUACAUGCAAGUCGAGCGAACAGACGAGGAGCUUGCUCCUCUGACGUUAGCGGCGGACGGGUGAGUAACACGUGGAUAACCUACCUAUAAGACUGGGAUAACUUCGGGAAACCGGAGCUAAUACCGGAUAAUAUAUUGAACCGCAUGGUUCAAUAGUGAAAGACGGUUUUGCUGUCACUUAUAGAUGGAUCCGCGCCGCAUUAGCUAGUUGGUAAGGUAACGGCUUACCAAGGCGACGAUGCGUAGCCGACCUGAGAGGGUGAUCGGCCACACUGGAACUGAGACACGGUCCAGACUCCUACGGGAGGCAGCAGUAGGGAAUCUUCCGCAAUGGGCGAAAGCCUGACGGAGCAACGCCGCGUGAGUGAUGAAGGUCUUCGGAUCGUAAAACUCUGUUAUUAGGGAAGAACAAAUGUGUAAGUAACUAUGCACGUCUUGACGGUAUCUAAUCAGAAAGCCACGGCUAACUACGUG
rnacentral:rRNA from 1 species